AACGCAUAUUGCACCCUCUGGUUAUUCCGGAGGGUAUACCUGUUUGAGUGUCAUUAAUAUAUCAAACCAAUCAAAAGUUUUGGCUGGUCUUGGAUGUUGAGGGUUGCUGGAUUUUAAUGAUCAGCUCCCUUUGAAUACAUUAGCUUGGAAUCUAUAAGCCAUUUCAACUUAGGCUAAUAUGAAUAUUGAAUGCUUUUGAUGAAAUGUGUUUGUCUGAGCUUAUAACUGUCUUAUAGACAAUUUGAUCAUGAUCAUGACCUCAAAUCAGGUAGGACUACCCGCUGAACUUAA
rnacentral:misc_RNA from 1 species